rnacentral:rRNA from 1 species
UGGGGAAUAUUGGACAAUGGGGGAAACCCUGAUCCAGCGACGCCGCGUGAGUGAAGAAGUAUUUCGGUAUGUAAAGCUCUAUCAGCAGGGAAGAAAAUGACGGUACCUGACUAAGAAGCCCCGGCUAACUACGUGCCAGCAGCCGCGGUAAUACGUAGGGGGCAAGCGUUAUCCGGAUUUACUGGGUGUAAAGGGAGCGCAGACGGCGAAGCAAGUCUGAAGUGAAAUGCAUGGGCUCAACCCAUGAAUCGCUUUGGAAACUGUUUGGCUUGAGUGUCGGAGGGGUAAGCGGAAUUCCUAGUGUAGCGGUGAAAUGCGUAGAUAUUAGGAGGAACACCGGAGGCGAAGGCGGCUUACUGGACGACAACUGACGUUGAGGCUCGAAGGCGUGGGGAGCAAACAGGAUUAGAUACCCUGGUAGUCCACGCAGUAAACGAUGAAUACUUGGUGUCGGGGAGGUAAACUCUUCGGUGCCGCAAGCAAACGCAUUAAGUAUUCCACCUGGGGAGUACGUUCGCAAGAAUG